rnacentral:rRNA from 1 species
CCUACGGGAGGCAGCAGUGGGGAAUAUUGGACAAUGGGGGAAACCCUGAUCCAGCGACGCCGCGUGAGUGAAGAAGUACUUCGGUACGUAAAGCUCUAUCAGCAGGGAAGAAAAUGACGGUACCUGACUAAGAAGCCCCGGCUGACUACCUGCCAGCAGCCGGGGGAAAACGUAGGGGGCAAGCGUUAUCCGGAUUUACUGGGUGUAAAGGGAGCGGAGACGGCAGCGCAAGUCUGGAGGUAAAUGCCGGGGCCCAACCCCGGAACUGCUCUGGAAACUGGGAAGCUGGAGUGCAGGAGAGGUAAGCGGAAUUCCUGGUGUAGCGGUGAAAUGCGUAGAUAUCAGGAGGAACACCGGCGGCGAAGGCGGCUUACUGGACUGUAACUGACGUUGAGGCUCGAAGGCGUGGGGAGCGAACAGGAUUAGAUACCCUGGUAGUC